rnacentral:rRNA from 1 species
UAGUUGGCGGGGUAAAGGCCCACCAAGGCGACGAUCCGUAGCUGGUCUGAGAGGAUGAUCAGCCACACUGGAASUGAGACACGGUCCAGACUCCUACGGGAGGCAGCAGUGGGGAACAUUGGACAAUGGGYGCAAGCCUGAUCCAGCCAUACCGCGUGGGUGAAGAAGGCCUUCGGGUUGUAAAGCCCUUUUGUUGGGAAAGAAAAGCAGUCGGCUAAUACCCGGUUGUUCUGACGGUACCCAAAGAAUAAGCACCGGCUAACUUCGUGCCAGCAGCCGCGGUAAUACGAAGGGUGCAAGCGUUACUCGGAAUUACUGGGCGUAAAGCGUGCGUAGGUGGUUGUUUAAGUCUGUUGUGAAAGCCCUGGGCUCAACCUGGGAAUUGCAGUGGAUACUGGGCGACUAGAGUGUGGUASAGGGUAGUGGAAUUCCCGGUGUAGCAGUGAAAUGCGUAGAGAUCGG